rnacentral:rRNA from 1 species
AGAACGAACGCUGGCGGCAUGCCUAACACAUGCAAGUCGAACGUGAUCCAGGCUUCGGCCUGGUGAAAGUGGCAGACGGGUGAGUAACGCGUGGGAACCUGCCCUGUGGUAGGGAAUAACCGUGGGAAACUGCGGCUAAUACCCUAUGAGUCCUUCGGGAGAAAGAUUUAUCGCCAUAGGGGGGCCCGCGUCGGAUUAGGUAGUUGGUGGGGUAACGGCCUACCAAGCCUUCGAUCCGUAGCUGGUCUGAGAGGAUGAUCAGCCACACUGGGACUGAGAUACGGCCCAGACUCCUACGGGAGGCAGCAGUGGGGAAUAUUGGACAAUGGGGGCAACCCUGAUCCAGCAAUGCCGCGUGGAUGAUGAAGGCCUUCGGGUUGUAAAGUCCUUUCGGCGGGGAAGAUGAUGACGGUACCCGCAGAAGAGCCCCGGCUAACUUCGUGCCAGCAGCCGC